AACGAACGCUGGCGGCAUGCCUAACACAUGCAAGUCGAACGAGACCUUCGGGUCUAGUGGCGCACGGGUGCGUAACGCGUGGGAACCUGCCCUUAGGUUCGGAAUAACUCCCCGAAGGGGGUGCUAAUACCGGAUAAUGUCUUCGGACCAAAGAUUUAUCGCCUUUGGAUGGGCCCGCGUUGGAUUAGCUAGUUGGUAGGGUAAAAGCCUACCAAGGCGACGAUCCAUAGCUGGUCUGAGAGGAUGAUCAGCCGCACUGGGACUGAGACACGGCCCAGACUCCUACGGGAGGCAGCAGUGGGGAAUAUUGGACAAUGGGCGAAAGCCUGAUCCAGCAAUGCCGCGUGAGUGAUGAAGGCCUUAGGGUUGUAAAGCUCUUUUACCCGGGAUGAUAAUGACAGUACCGGGAGAAUAAGCUCCGGCUAACUCCGUG
rnacentral:rRNA from 1 species